rnacentral:rRNA from 1 species
CCUACGGGGUGCAGCAGUAGGGAAUCUUCCACAAUGGACGAAAGUCUGAUGGAGCAACGCCGCGUGAGUGAAGAAGGGUUUCGGGUCGUAAAGCUCUGGUGGUAGGGAAGAAAGAUAGAGGGAGUAACUGGCCUUUAGUUGACGGUAAUUACGGAGAAAGGCACGGCUAACUACGUGCCAGCAGCCGCGGUAAUACGUAGGUGGCAAGCGUGGGCCGGCUUUAUUGGGCGUAAAGCGAGGGCAGGCGGUUCCAGAAGUCUGAUGUGAAAGCCUUCGGCUCACCCGGAGAAUUGCAUCAGAAACUGUUGACCUUGAGUGCAUACGAGGAGAGUGGAACUCCAUGUGUAGCGG